AUACCUACCUGGGAGGGGAGAUACCUUGAUCCCCGAGGUGUUUUUCCCAGGGCGAGGCUCAUCCUUUGCACUUGUGUUGACCCACGCUAUUUCCCCAAAUGAGGAAACCUCCACUGCAGAAUUUGUGGUAGUUGGGGACUGCAUUCACAUUCUGCCUAA